AACGAACGCUGGCGGCGUGCCUAAUACAUGCAAGUCGAGCGGUAAGGCCCCUUCGGGGUACGACGAGCGGCGGACGGCUGAGUAACACGUAGGAACGUACCCCAAACGUGAGGGAUAAGCACCAGAAAUGGUGUCUAAUACCGCAUGUGCUCUAAGGAGUAAAGCUUCGGCGCUUUGGGAACGGCCUGCGCAUGAUUAGCUUGUUGGUGAGGUAAUAGCUCACCAAGGCGACGAUCAUUAGCUGGUCUGAGAGGAUGACCAGCCAGACUGGAACUGAGAACGGUCCAGACUCCUACGGGAGGCUG
rnacentral:rRNA from 1 species